UACGGAGGGUGCAAGCGUUAUCCGGAUUCACUGGGUUUAAAGGGUGCGUAGGCGGGCAUUUAAGUCAGUGGUGAAAUACCUGAGCUUAACUUGGGAACUGCCAUUGAUACUAUAGAUCUUGAAUUUUCUGGAGGUUAGCGGAAUAUGUCAUGUAGCGGUGAAAUGCUUAGAUAUGACAUAGAACACCAAUUGCGAAGGCAGCUAGCUACAGGGAUAUUGACACUGAGGCACGAAAGCGUGGGGAUCAAACAGG
rnacentral:rRNA from 1 species